GCUGAGCGCGAGGAAAACAGUUGAUCAGAACCAGGAAAUAGUCAUGAGUUUGAACUGUUUGUUAGACCGCGCUAAACAACGACAAAACACGAGUGUGACAUACUAUACCUGGGGCGUGUCGGCUCAGCCACUCAUCAAAGAUGGCGUCAGUGAAGGUGUGGAGCAGGACAAAGAUGGGGUCGUUAGGGGACAGGUGUGUCUGCCCUCCUGUCCCGUUGAGGAACAGAUAUCCUCUGAUCACAGUUCGGUCCGGUGAGUCCAUACCGGCACCGGCCACAGUUAUACCCCGCAAAGCUCCCGUUACACCGGCACGUCCGGUUAAAGAACCUUAACG